CUUGUACGGUUCCUUGGAUUAAUAGGGAAGGCGGUCUGAAUCCGCCGCAACAGCCAUUACCGUGUUCAGCCGAAAGGAGCGCAUUGUGCCACUGAGUUUUUGGGAAGGCGCGUUCUGCUAUGACUGUCAGCCGGGAGACCUGCCGUGCUCGU
rnacentral:ncRNA from 1 species